rnacentral:rRNA from 1 species
UACGUAGGUGGCAAGCGUUGUCCGGAUUUAUUGGGCGUAAAGCGCGCGCAGGCGGUCCUUUAAGUCUGAUGUGAAAUCUUGCGGCUUAACCGCAAGCGGUCAUUGGAAACUGGGGGACUUGAGUACAGAAAGAGGAAAGUGGAAUUCCACGUGUAGCGGUGAAAUGCGUAGAUAUCUGGAGGAACACCGGUGGCGAAGGCGGCAUCCUGGACCAAUUCUGACGCUGAGUGAGCGAAAGCCAGGGGAGCAAACGGGG